AAAUAGUUUAGACAGAACAGAAGAAUUUAUACAAAUGCAUAAGUUCAGUCAGUGGCUAUGAUUAUAUCUAGUACUCAUUAUUUUGAAUACUUUGUUUUCAUGGAAACCCAAAUCAACAUAAAGGCAGUCAUGAUUAUAUCUAGUGCUUAUAGUAUGCUUUGUUUAUGGAAACAUUUUCCAUGGAAACCGAAAUUAAUAUAAAAGUGACCAACACGUUUUUCAUGGAAGUAGAAAUACAAGUAAAAUACUUCACCUGUGAAACACAAAUGAAAAUCACCUUUGAUUAAUAGUAUCAAUGAUGUAAUGGACUAUUAUGAAGGAAACUUGCAUUGGAAAUAGUUUAGACAGAACAGAAGAAUUUAUACAAAUGCAUAAGUUCAGUUAAUGGCCAUGAUUACAUCUAGUAUUCAUUAUUUUGAAUGCUUUGUUUCCAUGGAAACGUAAAUCAACAAAAAGGCAGUCAUCAUUAUAUCUAGUGCUCAAGUAUGCUUUGUUUCUCGAAACAUUUUCCAUGGAAACAGAAAUUAAUAUAAAAGUGAACAACACGUUUUUCAUGGAAGUAGAAAUACAAGUAAAUUACUUCACCUGUGGACCACAAAUGAAAAUCACCUUUAAUUAAUAGUACCAAUGAGGAAAUGGACUAUUAUGAUGGAAACUUGGUACCGUUUUCAUAGAAACCCAAAUCAAUUUAAAAGCAAUAUUUAAUAAAAACUUCAAACUAUAAACGAGAAUUAUCAAUGAUUAAUAUUACCAAAGAGGAAAUUAACAUCGAUGGAAAAAGUUUUUGCACUGGAAGGAUCACAAAUCGUUGCAAAAGACGCAACCAAAGGCAACAUUUUGGCUUUGCAGUAUUGAUAAAUUUGAACAUGAAGUUUUACUGGACCAUGGUUUUGAAGGCAGUAGAAAUGGCUAACCAAUAACAAAUUCUUCGCAAGACGGCUAAUAAUAAAUUAAAACAAUCCAGUAUCAUUCUUUGGUAACAAUAGGUAAUUUUAAAAAGUCUUUUUAUGCUGAAACAUAAUCUGAAUAUUUCCAGCAAGAUAUAAGUAAAUAAACAGCAUGAUUCUGAUUAGCCCUCAUAAAUGAAUACAAAAACAAAUAGAAUAUAGUUAGCAAUCACCAUUCUUUCAAAUGCAUCAACUCUGUUUAUUGUCACCCUUAGGACGUUUUACACAUUCGAAUAUGUUGUGAUUAACGAAUAGAAACACCAAAUAUAUAGAUGUGUUCAGUAAUAUAGUAGUAAAUCUUGUAAUAUUACAAUGGGAUUUAAAAUUUAAUUCGGAAAUAAACACACCAUCAAAUAGAGUACAACAGUCAGUUAUCAUGUCUUUACAUUUAUUCUAAUUGGCCCUGUCAUUGUAACCACCCUCAGAACGAUUUAUACAUUCGAAUAUGUUGUGAAUAUAACCAAAAGAAGUAAAUGGCAGUGAGGGGCAAACUCUCCUUUGAAAGCCAAUAGGAAGAAUUAUUCUCCUAUUGUUUUUCUCCAUUGGAGAACUUGCCCUUCACAUUUCAUUUGCUUCUCUUGGUUAUUCUUUACAACUAAGGUUGCAGAA